AUUGAACGCUGGCGGCAGGCCUAACACAUGCAAGUCGAACGGUAACAGGAAGCAGCUUGCUGCUUUGCUGACGAGUGGCGGACGGGUGAGUAAUGUCUGGGAAACUGCCCGAUGGAGGGGGAUAACUACUGGAAACGGUAGCUAAUACCGCAUAACGUCGCAAGACCAAAGAGGGGGACCUUAGGGCCUCUUGCCAUCGGAUGUGCCCAGAUGGGAUUAGCUAGUAGGUGGGGUAACGGCUCACCUAGGCGACGAUCCCUAGCUGGUCUGAGAGGAUGACGAGCCACACUGGAACUGAGACAGGGUCGAGGCUCCUACGGGAGGCAGCAGUGGGGAAUAUUGCACGAUGGGCGCAAGCCUGAUGCAGCCAUGCCGCGUGUAUGAAGAAGGCCUUCGGGUUGUAAAGUACUUUCAGCGGGGAGGAAGGGAGUAAAGUUAAUACCUUUGCUCAUUGACGUUACCCGCAGAAGAAGCACCGGCUAACUCCGUG
rnacentral:rRNA from 1 species